CCUGGCGGCAACAGCGUUGUGGAACCACCUGACUCCAUUCCGAACUCAGAAGUGAAACGCAACUGCGCCGAUGGUAGUGUGGCUCCGGCCAUGCGAGAGUAGGUCACCGCCAGGC
rnacentral:rRNA from 1 species